rnacentral:rRNA from 1 species
UACAGAGGGGGCAAGCGUUGUUCGGAAUUACUGGGCGUAAAGGGCGCGUAGGCGGCCCGCUAAGUCGAACGUGAAAUCCCCGGGCUCAACCCGGGAACUGCGUCCGAUACUGGCAGGCUUGAAUCCGGGAGAGGGAUGCGGAAUUCCAGGUGUAGCGGUGAAAUGCGUAGAUAUCUGGAGGAACACCGGUGGCGAAGGCGGCAUCCUGGACCGGUAUUGACGCUGAGGAGCGAAAGCCAGGGGAGCAAACGGG